rnacentral:tRNA from 1 species
GCCCUUUUAGUUCAGUGGUAGAACAUCGGAUUCGUAACCCGGGAACACCAGUUCAAUCCUGGUAGAGGGCA